rnacentral:rRNA from 1 species
GAUGAACGCUAGCUACAGGCUUAACACAUGCAAGUCGAGGGACCGGCGCACGGGUGAGUAACACGUAUCCAACCUGCCCUUUACUCGGGGAUAGCCUUUCGAAAGAAAGAUUAAUACCCGAUGUAAAGGAUGGGGAUGCGUUCCAUUAGGUUGUUGGUGAGGUAACGGCUCACCAAGACUGCGAUGGAUAGGGGUUCUGGGAGGCAGGUCCCCCACAUUGGAACUGAGGCACGGUCCAAACUCCGACGGGAGGCAGCAGUGAGGAAUAUUGGGCAAUGGGCGUUAGCCUGAACCAGCCAAGUAGCGGGAAGGAGUAAGGCUUAUGGGUCGUAAACUUCUUUUAUAUAAGAAGAUGUAUUAUAUGAAUAAGGAUCGGCUAACUCCGUGCCAGCAGCCGCGGUAAUAC